UGCAUUUUGGUGUAUGGUGCACAAGAAUUUUUGAUAUUCUUAGAGAUAGUUUGAUUCUAUCAAUUGUAA
rnacentral:tRNA from 1 species